GCCGAGCUAGCCAAGGUGGUCACGGCGGGCGCCUGAAGAGCGUCAGAUCUCGGUUCGACUCCGAGGCUCGGCACCA
rnacentral:tRNA from 1 species